ACAGUUUCACGCGCGUAUUACGUGUGACCGUGUAACAGUUUAAGUGUUAACUUGAGAGUUUGACAACCCUGAUACUCAAUUCAUGGACUAAAUUUGAUUCGAAAUCUAAAGUGAUAUCAGAGGAUUAUGAUGCAAAGUUCCGAUUAAGAAGUCAAUUGUUCAAGACAUGAAACAAUUAGGAUAUGAGGAUUAUGUUAGGACAAAGAAGUUCUCUAGACUUGAUAUAACAUAAAAAAGCAUAGUGAUUACUAUAUAUAUACCUUCUGCAUAAUGCAGAUAGUUUAUGAUACAGAACCAAGGGAUACAAGGUAAAUAUCUGAGACACAAUUCAUGGAUCUCCAAAAGAAAUACAUGAAGGUCUAGUUGAACAUAANNNNNNNNNACAAGUUAGUUCCCCCAAACUAAGCAUAGUGGUUUUUUCUUUGAAGAGAAAUAAACUCACACACAUGAUGACACACAAGAACACGAUGAUGAUUGAUUUGGAGUGACUGAUAUAUGGAGCAGCACACCUUGCCCAUUGGAACAAUUUCAAAUUAUCCAUCUUGAUUUUAUUUGGAGAAUUACCACCAAACUCGUACUCGCAAAACUUUGUAUCAUGUCUUAGCUUGUUCAUCCCUGCACAUUUGCACGUUUGUUCUAAUUUCAGUAAGUCAUUGUUACAAACAAGUAGGAGGUAUUAUUAUAACACAAGAAACAAAGUUUGGCAAUAUAUAAUGGAUUAUUAACAAAAUUUGAAAAUGUAACUCUAAUAAAUAACAAAUAAGAGAAUGAAAACAACCUAGAUGAUUUAAUUUAUCAGACAAAUAAUAAUAAAGACAUACCGUGUUGCAGUUCUUUUUCCACAAGUUAUGUAUCUAAAACUUCUUCCACGUCCAACAAUCUUUGAUUUUUCAGAAGUGGCUGGGAUUGUGAUAGUGAAGUAUCUUGAUAUAUAUGUUCCAGUUCAUCUAAUUUUCUCUUUCUAUAAGGAUUGGUGAACACAAACACUCAAAUUGAUCAGCAAUAAAAUUAUAAACUGCUUGAGCAAGUGUUGAUUUACCAAUUCCUCCUGUUGAUUUACCAAUUCCUCCAAUUCCUCCUGUUCCAUGAAUCCCAAUCAUGCAAACUUCAUCAUUACAAGCCUCAUUCAGAAGUGAGUUCACUUUACUCACUCGAGACUCAAGUCCAACAGGGUAAUCAACAACAUGUAAAGGAGUUCGCUUCAUCACUAGUUCAACAUGGUUUGAGUUGUCUAUGUGAUUUGUGUGGUCUAAGAAUUUAUAUUGAAAUCAAAUGGUAGUCUUAACAUUAAAGUAUAAUUUUGCUAUUUGAAAUUUAUGACUACAAUUAUUAUGAU
rnacentral:lncRNA from 1 species